AGCAGCCGCGGUAAUUCCAGCCCCAAUAGCGUAUAUUAAAGUUGUUGCAGUUAAAAGCUCGUAGUUGAAUUUCGGGAUCAAUACGUCGGUCGUGCUUCGGUACGUACUGGCGUAAUUGAUUCCUCCCUUCUGACGAACCAUGAUGUCAUUAACUUGGUGUCAUGGGAAAUCAGGACUGUUACUUUGAAAAAUUAGAGUGUUUAAAGCAGGCUCACGCUUGAAUACAUUAGCAUGGAAUAAUGAAAUAGGACGUUCGAUCCUAUUUUGUUGGUUUUUAGGAUUCAACGUAAUGAUUAAUAGGGAUAGUUGGGGGCAUUAGUAUUCAAUUGUCAGAGGUGAAAUUCUUGGAUUUAUUGAAGACUAACUACUGCGAAAGCAUUUGCCAAGGAUGUUUUCAUUAAUCAAGAACGAAAGUUAGGGAUCGAAGACGAUCAGAUACCGUGUAGUCUUAACCAUAAACUAUGCCGACUAGGGAUCGGAUGAUGUUAAUUUUUAAUGUACUCAUUCGGCGUCCUUACGG
rnacentral:misc_RNA from 1 species